GAUGAACGGGGGGGGGGGGGAGAAUACAUGCAAGUCGAACGAAACUUCUUUAUCACCGAGUGCUUGCACUCACCGAUACAGAGUUGAGUGGCGAACGGGUGAGUAACACGUGGGCAACCUGCCCAAAAGAGGGGGAUAACACUUGGAAACAGGUGCUAAUACCGCAUAACCAUAGUUACCGCAUGGUAACUAUGUAAAAGGUGGCUAUACUACCGCUUUUGGAUGGGCCCGCGGCGCAUUAGCUAGUUGGUAGGGUAAAGGCUUACCAAGGCAAUGAUGCGUAGCCGAAUUGAGAGGUUGAUCGGCCACAUUGGGACUGAGACACGGCCCAAACUCCUACGGGAGGCAGCAGUAGGGAAUCUUCCACAAUGGGCGAAAGCCUGAUGGAGCAACGCCGCGUGGGUGAAGAAGGUCUUCGGAUCGUAAAACCCUGUUGUUAGAGAAGAAAGUGCGUGAGAGUAACUGUUCACGUUUCGACGGUAUCUAACCAGAAAGCCACGGCUAACUACGUG
rnacentral:rRNA from 1 species